CCCUGUAAUUGGAAUGAGUACACUUUAAAUCCUUUAACAAGGACCUAUUGGAGGGCAAGUCUGGUGCCAGCAGCCGCGGUAACUCCAGCUCCAAUAGCGUAUAUUAAAGUUGUUGCGGUUAAAACGUUCGUAGUUGAACCUGUGCUUCAUACGGGUAGUACAACUAUAAUUGUAGYCUGUACUGUACCUUAUGUAUGUAAGCGUAUUACCGGUGGAGUUCUUAUGUAUGUUAAGUACUUGUAUUUUUCAUACAUUCCUCCUAUUUAAACCUGCUUCAGUGCUCUUCAUCGAGUGUUGUUGUGGGCCGGUACAAUUACUUUGAACAAAUUAGAGUGCUUAAAGCAGGCUCCAAAUGCCUGAAUAUUUUGUGCAUGGAAUAAUGAAAUAAGACCUCUGUUCUACUUUCAUUGGUUUUUAGAUCAAGAGGUAAUGAUUAAUAGAAGCAGUUUGGGGGCAUUAGUAUUACGACGCGAGAGGUGAAAUUCUUGGACCGUCGUAAGACUAACUUAAGCGAAAGCAUUUGCCAAAGAUGUUUUCAUUAAUCAAGAACGAAAGUUAGAGGUUCGAAGGCGAUCAGAUACCGCCCUAGUUCUAACCAUAAACGAUGCCAGCUAGCAAUUGGGUGUAGCUACUAUCAUGRCUCUCUCAGUCGCUUCCCGGGAAACCAAAGCUUUUGGGCUCCGGGGGAAGUAUGGUUGCAAAGCUGAAACUUAAAGGAAUUGACGGAAGGGCACCACCAGGAGUGGAGCCUGCGGCUUAAUUU
rnacentral:rRNA from 1 species